GACGAACGCUGGCGGCGUGCUUAACACAUGCAAGUCGAACGGUAAGGCCCUUCGGGGUACACGAGUGGCGAACGGGUGAGUAACACGUGGGUGAUCUGCCCUGCACUUCGGGAUAAGCCUGGGAAACUGGGUCUAAUACCGGAUAGGACCACUGCCUGCAUGGGUGGUGGUGGAAAGCUUUUGCGGUGUGGGAUGGGCCCGCGGCCUAUCAGCUUGUUGGUGGGGUGAUGGCCUACAAAGGCGAGGACGGGUAGCCGGCCUGAGAGGGUGACCGGCCACACUGGGACUGAGAUACGGCACAGACUCCUACGGGAGGCAGCAGUGGGGAAUAUUGCACAAUGGGCGCAAGCCUGAUGCAGCGACGCCGCGUGAGGGAUGACGGCCUUCGGGUUGUAAACCUCUUUCAGCACCGACGAAGCGCAAGUGACGGUAGGUGCAGAAGAAGGACCGGCCAACUACGUGCCAGCCGCCGCCGUAA
rnacentral:rRNA from 1 species